AGGAGGUUUGACUCAUCAAACCAAACCCCAUCUCUCAAACUCACUGGCACAGUGGCUCAGAACUCGAACGCAGCACACCAAGCAAUUCAGUUCCUUUCUCUCCCUCUAGAAACUUUUCUCUCUCUAGAAGUAGCUACACAGCAGCUUAUCUUUUCCAAAACAAUCACAGCCCACAACCUAAAGUUUCGGAAUUUAUUAGAAAGUUUGGAAAUUUAGAGCAGACAAAGAGAAGAGAUGAUGAAACUUGCAUGUGGUUUUUGGUUGUUUCUCUCUCUACUUUGUCUCUCUACCUUAUCUCCAUCAACCGCAGCAGAAGCACCAGCACCAGCACCAGCUCCUCCUCCCCCCACAACCAAAGUAACAACAACAGCAACAUGUCCCAUGGAUCUGAGCUAUGUCCUAAGAAUCCCCUUCAACUCCUCCACCUGCAAAAACUUCCAACCUCCUCCCAAAACCCCACAAAUGGAGUCGGAGGACCCCACCAAUAACCCCUGCUGCCAAACCCUUUUGUCCCUCUUCGGAAUCUCCUUCGCGCAACGCCUCAAAGAAACCUCCCUCUUCAACCUCCCCAACCUCCCCACCUCCAUUUCCUGCCUCCAAAACUACCAGUCCAAGCUCUCCUCCCUCUCCUCCCUCUCCCUCCCUCCCAAUAUUGUCAACUACUGCUGGGACCCUCUCCAGUUUGUCAUCACCCCCAACAUCUGCGCCAACAUUCAGUCCACCAAUGAUUGGGUCUCCAAGCUCGGCCACUCCACCGUCCUUGACUCCGCCUGCCGCCCUGACCUCACCGAUCUCUCCUCCUGCGGGGGCUGCGUCGACGCCGGCCUUGCCGUUCAGAAGAAGCUGCUUGCCGUUGAUGGUAACUCUUCUCACACUCGGGACUGUUGGUACUUUACUAUUCUUUAUGCUGCUGGUAUUGUUAACGAGUUUGGCCCUGAGAGUAAUGGUGCUGUGAACUGUAUAUUUGGGUUGUCGUUUGAUUCAAAUACGCCUUCGUCGAAAAAGAGCAAUACUGCUCUUGUUUUCGGCCUCACUGGCGCUGGAGUUGCGUUGUUUGUUAUGUGUAGUUUGUUGGGAUUGUACUUUUGGUAUGAUAGGAGGUGGAAGAACGAAGGGAUGGAAUCCGGUUUCGACUUGGAAGAACGAGAUUCUAGGAGUAGAGUGAGACCAAACACUGGUUCAAUUUGGUUCAAAAUUCAGGACCUUGAGAAGGCAACUAAUAACUUUUCGCAGAAGAAUUUUAUCGGUCGAGGUGGGUUUGGUGUUGUUUACAAGGGUGUGUUGCAGGAUGGGACUACAGUUGCUGUUAAGAAAGUUAUAGAAUCUGAUAUUCAAGGGGAUGCUGAGUUUUGCAAUGAGGUUGAGAUUAUUAGCAAUUUGAGGCACCGAAACCUUGUCCCGCUUAGAGGGUGUUGUAUGGUCGAGGGGGAAGACAAUUACGAGGAGAAAGGAAGUCACAGGUACCUUGUCUACGAUUACAUGCCGAAUGGGAAUCUAGAUGACCAUCUCUUUAUUUCUCAGUCAAGUAAUCCGAGCGGAAUUGAAAGGAGACCCUUGACUUGGCCUCAAAGAAAGAGCAUAAUAUUGGAUGUGGCCAAGGGUUUAGCUUAUCUGCACUAUGGAGUGAAGCCUGCAAUAUAUCACAGAGAUAUUAAGGCGACAAACAUACUACUAGAUGCAGAUAUGAAAGCGAGGGUGGCGGACUUUGGGCUUGCAAAACAGAGCAUGGAAGGCCAGUCCCAUCUCACUACUAGAGUGGCAGGGACUCACGGGUACUUAGCCCCCGAAUACGCUCUUUAUGGACAGCUGACUGAGAAGAGCGAUGUUUAUAGCUUUGGAGUGGUUAUUUUGGAGAUUAUGUGUGGGAGGAAAGCUCUUGAUUUGUCUUUGGGAUCCCCUCGUGCUUUUCUGAUCACAGAUUGGGCUUGGUCAUUGGUGAAAUCUGGAAAAGCUGAGCAGGCUUUAGACUUUUCAUUGGUGAAAGAUGGGGAUAAUGCGAAUUCGAAUCCGAAGAGCAUAAUGGAGAGAUAUUUGCUGGUCGGCAUUUUGUGUGCUCAUGUAAUGGUGGCUUUACGGCCUACCAUUUUGGAUGCCCUGAAAAUGUUGGAGGGAGAUAUUGAGGUGCCACGGAUUCCAGAUAGGCCGAUGCCCCUUGGUCAUCCUUCAAGUUAUGGCAACGACAACGGUAACACGUUCAGCAUAUCACCAGCUUUGAGCGGCCCAAAAUUCCAAAGCGGAGACAUGCUCAGCGCAAAUGAAGACGUAGACAACGGUAUAAGCAAACGGUAUUAUUUGAAUUGAACCAGCUACUCUGGAAGAACAGAUUGACUCGAGAAGUUGGAUUUGAAAUCAUCAUGAAUUUGGAAGUUUUAUGUGGAAAUGAAUCUAAUGAGAACUCAAAUCUUUGUUGAAGCUAUACUUUCAUGCAUUGUUCCGUUCUAUCUUAUCACGGGUUUAACAGAGAGUGAAGCACUUGAUGGGGUUUGAGUCCUUGGAAGAUUCCUACAUAUCUUACGUUCUUAUUAGUUUCAAGAUUGUACGUACAUAGGUUUUGGUGAAAUUUUGAUUCAUACUUGUAUAGUAACAGUAAGGGAAAUAGUAAAUACCUAUCAGCUUGUAACUAUAGCCGCAGGAAAUAUUAUUUGUUUUGUUUUUCUUGCUUGUAGUACGUUUUUGUGGGCAACUUGUAACUCAAGCGGUUAAUGUCCAAUGACGGCUUUGCCACCA